rnacentral:rRNA from 1 species
UACGAAGGGGGCUAGCGUUGCUCGGAAUCACUGGGCGUAAAGCGCACGUAGGCGGAUUGUUAAGUCAGGGGUGAAAGCCUGGAGCUCAACUCCAGAACUGCCCUUGAUACUGGCAAUCUCGAGUCCGGAAGAGGUAAGUGGAACUCCGAGUGUAGAGGUGAAAUUCGUAGAUAUUCGGAAGAACACCAGUGGCGAAGGCGAGUCCCUGGACACCACCUGACGCUGAGGCACGAAAGCUAGGGGAGCAAACAGG